rnacentral:rRNA from 1 species
AACGCUAGCGGCAAGCCUAACACAUGCAAGUCGAACGGUAACUUUUGGUGCUUGCACCGAAAGACGAGUGGCGAACGGGUGCGUAACGCGUAUGCAAUCUGCCUUUUACUAGGGUAUAGCCCAGAGAAAUUUGGAUUAAUCCCCUAUAAUAUCAUUUAAUCGCAUGAUUUUAUGAUUAAAGCUUCGGCGGUAAAAGAUGAGCAUGCGUCCUAUUAGUUAGUAGGUGAGGUAACGGCUCACCUAGACUCCGAUAGGUAGGGGUCCUGAGAGGGAGAUCCCCCACACUGGUACUGAGACACGGACCAGACUCCUACGGGAGGCAGCAGUGAGGAAUAUUGGACAAUGGACGAAAGUCUGAUCCAGCUAUGCCGCGUGCAGGAUGACGGCCCUAUGGGUUGUAAACUGCUUUUAUACAGGAAGAAAAACUCCGACGUGUCGGAACUUGACGGUACUGUAAGAAUAAGGAUCGGCUAA